UCUGCCCCUAGAGGCACUGCAGGUGUGGCUGCUGUGUCACAUGUGUGUCCGUAGGUGGCAGAGAGGAGAGAGGCUAUGCCUACACUCUGCCUUCUGACUUACCAACAUCUGAAUGAUUAGUAACCUAACAUU
ensembl:snoRNA LOC120094486 small nucleolar RNA SNORA17